GCAGCCUGAUGCAGCAACGCCGCGUGAGGGACGACGGCCUUCGGGUUGUAAACCUCUUUUAGCAGGGAAGAAGCGAAAGUGACGGUACCUGCAGAAAAAGCACCGGCUAACUACGUGCCAGCAGCCGCGGUAAUACGUAGGGUGCAAGCGUUAUCCGGAAUUAUUGGGCGUAAAGAGCUCGUAGGCGGUUUGUCGCGUCUGCUGUGAAAACCCGAGGCUCAACCUCGGGCCUGCAGUGGGUACGGGCAGACUAGAGUGCGGUAGGGGAGAUUGGAAUUCCUGGUGUAGCGGUGGAAUGCGCAGAUAUCAGGAGGAACACCGAUGGCGAAGGCAGAUCUCUGGGCCGUAACUGACGCUGAGGAGCGAAAGGGUGGGGAGCAAACAGGCUUAGAUACCCUGGUAGUCCACCCCGUAAACGUUGGGAACUAGUUGUGGGGUCCAUUCCACGGAUUCCGUGACGCAGCUAACGCAUUAAGUUCCCCGCCUGGGGAGUACGGCCGCAAGGCUAAAACUCAAAGGAAUUGACGGGGACCCGCACAAGCGGCGGAGCAUGCGGAUUAAUUCGAUGCAACGCGAAGAACCUUACCAAGGCUUGACAUAUACGAGAACGCUGCAGAAAUGUAGAACUCUUUGGACACUCG
rnacentral:rRNA from 1 species